rnacentral:misc_RNA from 1 species
UUUGAAUUAGCUGUUACACUUGCCUAGGAACCAUCUGAUUACACGGGACUGGUCUGCACGCUGGUCAGUAACGACACGUAUUUGUAUUACUAAUACAUUUGCACACAACAUUUGUGAUGCAGAAAUUACAAGACAUAGCCUACAGUUUACGUCAAAAGCCCACCACAACCUAUCAAGAACUGUUUGGUGUGGCCAGCUACAGAAGGAAUCCACCCCCUGAAUAUCUCCGGCGAGGUUCCUACUCCCACUGGGUAUUACGACAGUGACGAGUGGUUGGAAACAGGUACAUCCACUUGCUGACCAGUCAGGAACGAUAUGAGAUACAGUUUGACAUUCAGGACGAGGAUGGGGCAACAGGAACGAGGCUCUAUGAGAGUUUCUCCAUCUCAGAUGGAGCGAACAUGUACAGACUGAAUAUCAGCGGACCAUCUGUGGGAAACAUAACCGAAGAGAUGAGUAGUCUUAACAAUAUGCAGUUCUCCACGCGGGACCACGACAUCGACAGCCACAAGACAGUGAACUGCGCCGUGGUGUUCGGCGGAGCAUGGUGGUAUCAAAUGUGCUCACGCGUGGCCCUCAACUCACGACUCACACCGACUAACAACCACAGCAGAUGGCAGCCAUUCUCAGUUAGAUUAACACGAACCGAAAUCAGAAUCAGACCAGCGAGUGGCUUUUGACUGUUUACAUUUAUAUAGCUAUUAACAACUGGUACCCUACUACCAGUCUACAAACACAAAAAACCCAUUCUUUUUCUCAUUUUUCUUUUUUACAAUGUUCUUUUAUUUGAUAGCGUCCUCUUUUAAAUAGGCUUUUGAUUCCUUUGCAGUCAGAAAAGAGGAUUGUGUUUAACUAGUUUGCACUGAGCUUUCAUUUUGUUCCGUCGUUACUGCGUCUGUAGUUUUACAUUUUACUUACAUGUUAAAUAUUUUAAUGGCUCUUUUCUAUCAUGAUAAAUAAAAAUCAUGUUAUAUAGUGCAUGUUGAAAAAAAAUGUAUUAAAUGGAAACAAUUCUCACCAAUAGUAUAGAUCGCUCAAUUGAUUUGUGUUAAUGAAUCGGAUUUUGGUUUUUAAUUUUCAACAUUAUUGCAGUUUACGACCAAAGGAGAAAAAAAGAAGAGAAAAUGUUUUUUUCCCCUUAUUACUAAAAGUCGAUUUAUAUACACUAAUAUACACUGGUGGCAAGGAAAAUGGGAACCCAUGCUAUCACCACCAAAGUAAUUACGCUUGUAUAAAAUACAGAGAUGUAAUGUGGAACUGAACGUCAGUACUGUGGGAUUAAAUGUGAGUAACACACUUAACUUCCUGAUGCUAUUGAUGAGGGUAGUAGUCAACAUUUGUUAUAAUAUACUGAGUCAUAUUAAAAACUUCACAACCGUUUCAUCUUGGCUAAUUAGCAAAUACGACAGAAGAACGUGUUAAAUAAGGUAUUUUUUGUAUUGUAUGACGUCCACAAAAAGAAUAAGAAUAAAUGUUGAGUCAAAAAUGUGUUCGAUGCGCCCACAACAUUCGUCAAAACCACAAACAGUCAAAAUGGUAAUUCACAAGCAGGGUCGUCUGAUGAAAUCACAGGUUUAGUAGCGCGUAUGCCAUCCAUUUGUACCCACAACGGCAAGGCAACGCCUCUUCAUCGACUGCCUGAUGCAUGUAAAGACUGCAUUAGGGAUACGGCGCUAUUGUUCCACUAAUGAGGCACCAAGUUCCUGCAAAGUCUGUGGAGGGUUCCUGAGAGUGCGCAGGCUUCUUCCCAGCACAUCCAAAACGUGCUCGAUGGGAUUCAGGUCGGGCGACAUUGAAGGCCAAUCCAUGACAUUGAUCCCCGCGUUCCUCAGGUAAUCCCUUGUCAAGGUGGCCAUGUGGGGUCUGGCGUUGUCAUGCUGAAAGAUCAGACCUGGACCAUGAGCUGCCAUGAAGGACACACGUUCCUGGGCCAGCACCUGGUGGCGGUAUGCAGCAGCGUUGAGGUUGCCACGGAUGACAAGAAGUCGAGAACGUCCAUUUCAACAGAAAGCACCCCAAACCAGUACACGUCCGCCUCCGAAUCUGUCAACAACACUGAGCAUGACGUUCACCACGUCGUCUCCAAACCCUAUGCCUGCCAUCGGUAAAUCGCUGUGUGAAUCUUGAUUCAUCGCUAAACACGACUCUAUUCCAUUCCCUCUCAGUCCAUCGCAAGUGGCAUUGUGUUCACAGUUGACGUUGACGUCGAUGAAAUUGGGUCGAAAUGGGUCCAAUAUAUGCGCGCCGUGCGUGGAGGUGAGCAUUUCGCAGCCGAUUUUGGAUCGUUUGUGGGGACACCCGACGUCUGAUAAGUUCAUUACUGGUUACUGUAGCUGUCAUGAAAUGGUUGCGGAGUUCACGUAACACAAUAUGACGGUCAUCUGCCUAUGACGUCACACGUGGUCUACCCGGUCUGGGGCGAUCAGCUGUGGUGCCCGUUUGUUGUACUCGUGUCCGCAGAUCAUAAAUUGUCCGUCGACUGCAACCCAAUGCUCUUGCAACGUCAGCUACUGACGUUCCCGCGUGCAACAUGCACCGGCAACGGCACGUUCACGCUGCACAUUUGUGAGGCGUGGCAUUGAAACAGGUCGUAAACAAAUAUCGUUUUAAUGUGUUUUUUCGUUGUGUCAGACUAAUGUGAGCAAGUGACGAUGAAAACACGUGGCUAUUAUAGUCACGUCACCAGUGGCACGUGCAAAACUACGUUUGCCUCAGUGGUGGUGUGCACAUGCUAUGGAUCGGGUCACGUGGGCUGUGAUGAGCUUCAAAUGGAGUGUAGACAUUUCCAUUACAAUAUUUAUUCCUGAAAAAAAUACCUGCUUUCAACACUCACUGACUUUAUUCAAAUUUUAGAUUGUGAAGUUUAUAAUCUGACUUCUGUAUAUUUAUCUUCAUCAGUGUAUAUAGUAUAUCCUUUUGCAAUAUAUGGUUUUAGAAAAUCUUGUUAGUGAGAAACUUUGGAGAAGGCAAAUUGGUCAGCCCUCGGACUCGCAUAGUUUGAUGUGAUGAAGUUAUUAUAAGUUUUAAUAACCACCUAACGAACUUUUUAAAACAUUUUCUUAUGAAAAUUUGUCGGAACAUUGAUUUUUUUCUUUCCAUGGUCCUUGGAACCCUAAUACCACUACUUGUUCGUUGAUCGUAGCCACCGAUUUAAUCAUUUCAUCUAUAUGCCAUCCUUAUUACACAAUAAAACUUGCUUAAGAUUG